rnacentral:lncRNA from 1 species
CUCCUAGGCUUCCUUGCUGUCUCAUUCGCUUGCGAAUGUAGCCCUCCUAAACCAUCUCCGAGACCCCACAAACCGCCUAAACAUCCCGUCAAACCGCCUAAACCACCAGCAGCCAAACCACCAAAACCACCGGCAGUAAAACCUCCUAAACCCCCCACCAAACCUCCCACCCUUAAACCACACCCCCACCCUAAACCUCCCACCGUUAGACCACAUCCACACCCUAAGCCCCCUACCAAACCUCAUCCCAUCCCAAAACCGCCCACCGUUAAACCACCACCCUCCACACCCAAACCGCCCACAAAACCACCCACCGUUAAACCACCUCCAUCCACCCCUAAGCCGCCCACCAAACCACCCACCGUCAAACCACCACCCUCCACCCCAAAACCGCCCACCAAGCCACCCACCGUCAAACCACCUCCGUCCACCCCUAAACCACCUACCCACAAGCCACCAACAGUGUGCCCACCGCCAACACCAACACCAACCCCACCUGUUGUAACGCCACCAACACCACCAACACCAACUCCACCAGUCGUUACGCCACCAACACCAGCCCCACCUGUUGUAACGCCACCAACACCAACACCACCGGUCGUAACGCCACCGACACCAACCCCUCCUGUCGUAACACCUCCAACACCACCGGUCGUAACGCCACCGACACCAACUCCUCCUGUCGUAACACCACCAACACCACCGGUCGUAACGCCACCGACACCAACCCCUCCUGUCGUAACACCUCCAACACCACCGGUCGUAACGCCACCGACACCAACCCCUCCUGUCGUAACACCACCAACACCAACUCCACCUAAGCCAGAAACGUGCCCAAUCGACACGUUGAAGCUAGGCGCUUGUGUAGACGUUCUUGGAGGUUUAAUUCACAUCGGGCUUGGUGGAAGUAGCGCCAAGAAAGAGUGUUGUCCGGUUUUGGGAGG